rnacentral:rRNA from 1 species
GUGCCUAAUACAUGCAAGUAGCAACGCUGAAGGAAUAGCUUGCUAUUCUGGAAGAGUUGCGAACGGGUGAGUAACGCGUAGGUAACCUACCUCAUAGCGGGGGAUAACUAUUGGAAACGAUAGCUAAUACCGCAUAAGAAUACUUAUUGCAUGAUAAGUGUUUAAUAAGGAACAACUGUUUCACUGUGAGAUGGACCUGCGUUCGUAUUAGCUAGUNUGGUCAAGGUAACGGCUUACCAAGGCGACGAUACAUAGCCGACCUGAGAGGGUGAUCGGCCACACUGGGACUGAGACACGGCCCAGACUCCUACGGGAGGCAGCAGUAGGGAAUCUUCGGCAAUGGGGGCAACCCUGACCGAGCAACGCCGCGUGAGUGAAGAAGGUUUUCGGAUCGUAAAGCUCUGUUGUCAGCCAAGAAUGUAUGUGAGAGUGGAAAAUUCACAUAGUGACGGUAACUGACCAGAAAGGGACGGCUAACUACGAUGCCAGCAGCCGCGGUAAUACGUAGGUGGCGAGCGUUGUCCGGAUUUAUUGGGCAGUAAAAGCGAGCGCAGGCGGUUUCUUANGUCUUGAUGUGAAA